rnacentral:rRNA from 1 species
GACGCCGCGUGGGGGAAGAAGGCCUUCGGGUUGUAAACCCCUGUCAGGUGGGAAGAACUCCUCAACUUUAACACCGUUGAGGCUGACGCUACCACCAGAGGAAGCGCCAGCUAACUUCGUGCCAGCAACGUCGGUGACUGAGCGGGCUGGCAAGGCGCAUA